rnacentral:rRNA from 1 species
GAUGAACGCUGGCGGCGUGCCUAAUACAUGCAAGUCGAGCGAAUGGAUUAAGAGCUUGCUCUUAUGAAGUUAGCGGCGGACGGGUGAGUAACACGUGGGUAACCUGCCCAUAAGACUGGGAUAACUCCGGGAAACCGGGGCUAAUACCGGAUAAUAUUUUGAACUGCAUGGUUCAAAAUUGAAAGGCGGCUUCGGCUGUCACUUAUGGAUGGACCCGCGUCGCAUUAGCUAGUUGGUGAGGUAACGGCUCACCAAGGCAACGAUGCGUAGCCGACCUGGGAGGGUGAUCGGCCACACUGGGACUGAGACACGGCCCAGACUCCUACGGGAGGCAGCAGUAGGGAAUCUUCCGCAAUGGACGAAAGUCUGACGUAGCAACGCCGCGUGAGUGAUGAGGGCUUUCGGGUCGUAAUACUCUGUUGUUAGGGAAGAACAAGUGCUAGUUGAAUAAGCUGGCACCUUGACGGUACCUAACCAGAAAGCCACGGCUAACUACGUGCCAGCCGCCGCUGUAA